AGUCAACUCACAAGUAGUUGCUGGCUCCGGUACCCCAAAAGAGGAUGGAGACGACGCCGUACAAGUAGCUGUGAUUGUUCCAAUUCAUUUUGUCUAGUGUAAAAAAAUACCAGUAGGGCAGCAGAAAACAUCCGCAAGCUAACUUGAAGCAAAAACCAAUCAUUACACCUCCGGCGCCGAUCCACAUGAGGGUGUACAACGCUAUGGUCCACGAUCGAUGUCGGAGAAACCCCUUUCCUCCACGAUGUCGAUUACC
rnacentral:misc_RNA from 1 species